AGGCUGCAUUUCAAGCUGCUGAAGUCCCACUAAACACUCUAAAGACACAUUGUUUGUAUAAUGUUUGAACAAUGUGUCUCAGAGUGUUGUGGGCCUUUAGCACCCACAUCAUCUUCCUUG
rnacentral:precursor_RNA from 12 species